rnacentral:lncRNA from 1 species
GCGCGUGCCCCUUAAAGACACAGCGCUGCAUUCACACGUCUGCGGGGAAAGGGGGGCCGUCACGUGUGGCCUUCGCCCGAAAGCGGUAGGGGAGUCGCUCUGAAACCGCCAAGGAUCGCGAGCGACAGAUUUGUGUUGGCCAGGGUUUUAAGAUGACGCAAUAGCUGAGUGUGGUUGAAAUGCUGUAGGCGCAUGAUGUCACAAGUUAUUGGAAGAAAUCCCUCCAACCUAGGUUGGGACAGAUGAAGGCGGCGCUUAUUGGUGUUCACCAAAACACCAGCAUGGUGUACCAGCUUUGGCUAGAUGAUGCUCAGGAAAACACAGAUCCUGGUGCCGAACAUGAGGACAGGGCAGGCCGAAGGAGAAAGUGGAAGGAGGGGAGCUUCUCUCUCAGCCUCAUCCUUCUGGGCCUGGAUGCUGGAGAGUCAUGAGGUGCUUCAGAGUACUCUGGGUGAGGAGGGAAAGAUGGUGCCCACCACAUGGAGGCCAGCCUAGGUCUUGUAUGAAACCUGUGAGGAGAUUCUCUCUCCCUUGCUGUCUUUGAAAAAGCAAGUUGCCAUGUGAAGAGGGCCAUAUAGCAUAGGAGCUGAAGGCAGCCUCCAACUGACGGCAAGAAAAUGAGGUCCUCAGUCUGACAACCUGCAAGAAACUGAAUGUUCUAAAAGCCACAUGAGCUUGGGAGCAGAUCUGACCCCAGCCAAAUCUCUGAAGUCCGCAGGCAGGAAAUGAAGAUCAGAAAAAGGCUAUUGUCUCAUGAAUAUGAGCCAGACUCCACAGAAGCUGGAGUCCUUCAUUAUGGAGCUAAACACAUACACCUGGCUUAGGAGUCAGAAAAACUGAAAGAGAAUUCAGGGAAGUAGAGAAAUUGCAAGCCCAGAUGCUGCUUCAUACCAAAGAAGCAAGUCAGCAGGUCAGCAACAAUGUGUAUCAGUUCCAAAAUGACUUACACAGGUACCAAGACAAGACAUUAUAUACACUUAUAUAGUCAAAUACUUUAAAACUGUUAACAAACUUGCUACAAUUGUCUCAUUUGUCUUUUAACCUUAAUAUCACAGAUCAAGUUUGUAAUCUCAAAAGUUCACCCUGGCUGCUGUGUGGAGUAUUCUCUUAUCUGCUCAUAUUACACUGUGCUUAUUCAUUCAUCAGUUAAUGGAAAUUUGGGUUGUUUCCUGAUUUUGACUGUAAUGAAUAAUGUUGCUGUAAACAUUCAUGUAC